GGACUACCAGGGUAUCUAAUCCUGUUUGCUACCCACGCUUUCGCGCCUUAGCGUCAAUGUUUGGCCAGUCAGGCGCCUUCGCCUCUGGUGUUCCACCUAAUCUCUACGAAUUUCACUUCUCCACUAGGUAUUCCCCCAACCUCUCCAACAUUCAAGUCUCGCAGUUUCGACUGCAGUUCCCAGGUUGAGCCCGGGGCUUUCACAAUCGACAUACGAGACCGCCUACGCGCGCUUUACGCCCAGUGAUUCCGAGUAACGCUUGGACCUUUCGUAUUACCGCGGCUGCUGGCAC
rnacentral:rRNA from 1 species